rnacentral:rRNA from 1 species
UAGUCGAGCGGCAGCACGGACUUCGUCUGGUGGCGAGCGGCGAACGGGUGAGUAAUACAUCGGAACCUACCUUUUAGUUGGGGAUAACGCAUCGAAAGAUGUGCUAAUACCGAAUAAUCUCUGAGGAGGAAAGGCGGGGAUCGCAAGACCUGUCGCUGAAAGAGCGGCCGAUGGCCGAUUAGCUAGUUGGCGGGGUAAAGGCCCACCAAGGCGAUGAUCGGUAGCUGUUCUGAGAGGAAGAUCAGCCACACUGGGACUGAGACACGGCCCAGACUCCUACGGGAGGCAGCAGUGGGGAAUUUUGGACAAUGGGGGCAACCCUGAUCCAGCAACGCCGCGUGAAUGAAGAAGGCCUUAGGGUUGUAAAGUUCUUUUGUCAGGGA